rnacentral:rRNA from 1 species
GGAAUUGUUCGCAAUGGGCGCAAGCCUGACGACGCAACGCCGCGUGGAGGACGAAGAUCUUCGGGUCGUAAACUCCUGUCGAGCGGGAAGAAACCCGCGGGGAUGAAUAAUCCCUGCCGCUGACGGUACCACUACAGGAAGCCCCGGCUAACUCCGUUCCAGCAGCCGCGGUAAUACGGGGGGGGCCAGCGUUGUUCGGAAUUACUGGGCGUAAAGGGCUCGUAGGCGGCCAACUAAGUCGGAUGUGAAAUCCCCAGGCUCAACCUGGGAACUGCAUCCGAUACUGGAUGGCUUGAAUUCGGGAGAGGGAUGCAGAAUUCCAGGUGUAGCGGUGAAAUGCGUAGAUAUCUGGAGGAAUACCGGUGGCGAAGGCGGCAUCCUGGACCGACAUUGACGCUGAGGAGCGAAAGCUAGGGAAGCAAAC